CGGGUAUUCGAGGAGAUGCUACCAGGGAACAUGGAGAGAGAGUGUGUGGAGGAAAUGUGCAACUACGAAGAAGCCAGAGAAGUGUUAGAAGAGCCGGAUAAAACGGAGUCAUUCUGGUGCAGGUAUCAGGAAUGUGGAGGAGCUGAGACGACUAGGCAGAGAACCAGAGGCAGAAUGAACUUCAUCCGAAAGUGG